rnacentral:rRNA from 1 species
UACGAAGGGGGCUAGCGUUGCUCGGAAUCACUGGGCGUAAAGCGCACGUAGGCGGCUUUCUAAGUCAGGGGUGAAAUCCUGGAGCUCAACUCCAGAACUGCCUUUGAUACUGGGAAGCUCGAGUCCGGGAGAGGUGAGUGGAAUUCCUGGUGUAGCGGUGAAAUGCGCAGAUAUCAGGAAGAACACCCGUGGCUAAGGCGGCUCUCUAGUACGGUACUGACGCUGAGACGCGAAAGCGUGGGGAGCGAACAGG